UCAGUCGAAUGCUUCCUGUUAGUGACCACUUCCGCUCAUGAUGAGUACAGAGAUACAGAACAGCAGUUCAAGACUAAUACACAAACACCAGAACCUAGACGAGGAUUUCCUCAGAGUGUUGGAGGAGACAGAAUGGCAGCAUUUUCUAUGACAAUGUCUGGAACUGAUUGCUAGAGUGGCAGAGAUACUUACUGCAGAAACCUUUCAGAUACUGUAUGAACCAUUUCAAGAAGUGAUCAUCAUAUGUUGGGUUAAAGAGACAUAUACAGUCGGCAGAUUCAAAAAGUAGUUUGAACAUUUGAGGAGAGAUCUGUCCUCCCUGUUACAAGGGUUGGGGAGACUAGCUGAUCAUUUCAUAGCUGAUAAAUUGACUAGAGAUUUCCUGAUGGCCAGGUGCUUUUGGAGAGACUGAUACAUAUGGUUGUAUAUGGCAGUAGAGUGAAGCUGCAUGUUUGAACUGACAUCUACAGAGCAGUGUUCUACAGACUGAUCUGAUUGAAGUGCUUACUUUGUGAGAGCAUGCAGGCAGCUAAAGACAGAAGGUCAACAAAAUCAGGGUUUUUUUUAAAGCAAGAAGGAAACAACAGAAAAUGUGAAAAUAGAAAGAAGAUCAAGGGAACAAAGGAACCUGAAUAGAAUAAACUUUGAAAGAUUUUACGCUAAAACUAAAUUUAUAAGAACAGUAGUGAUGGAUUAAUCUCCCAUAUAUUUUAGCCUGCUGGUGGCAAAUUAUUUUGCCUUUGCUACCAAGAUCAGCCAGCACGUUCUUCCCAAACCAUGAAGCUUCAAUAUUUUUUCUACUGUUAUAGAUUAAGGGUGUAUUAGAAUCGAAAUAACUUAUAGCAAAAGCAUGUUUUAACACUAUUUAUACACUCGGGUGAUAAUACGUCAUACAAAUUAUGCUCGACGUAUAACCACCCAUCGUGUAUAAAUAGUGUUAAAACACUCUUUUGCUAUAAAUAUUUCGUAAAUAAUGUUUUCCAUGAAGAGAAUAUAUUUUCUAUCUUGUUUUGUUGAAAAAUGAGACAUUGUAAAAUACAGAUGAAAGCAAGUCACUUUUUUGUUACAAGCUUAUUUCAAGCCUGAAACUUCUAUCCAAAAGCAUGCAAUACUGUUACUUAA
rnacentral:lncRNA from 1 species